rnacentral:rRNA from 1 species
UAUUAGAAAGAAUACCAAUUGCGAAGGCAGCUUUCUGGAUCAUUACUGACACUGAGGAACGAAAGCAUGGGUAGCGAAGAGGAUUAGAUACCCUCGUAGUCCAUGCCGUAAACGAUGUGUGUUAGACGUUGGAAAUUUAUUUUCAGUGUCGCAGCGAAAGCGAUAAACACACCGCCUGGGGAGUACGACCGCAAGGUUAAAACUCAAAUGAAUUGACGGGGACCCGCACAAGUAGUGGAGCAUGUGGUUUAAUUCGAAGAUACGCGCAGAACCUUACCAACACUUGACAUGUUCGUCGCGACUCUAAGAGAUUAGAGUUUUCGGUUCGGCCGGACGAAACACAGGUGCUGCAUGGCUGUCGUCAGCUCGUGUCGUGAGAUGUUGGGUUAAGUCCCGCAACGAGCGCAACCCUCACUUUUAGUUGCCAUCAUUAAGUUGGGCACUCUGAAAGAACUGCCAGUGAUAAGCUGGAGGAAGGUGGGGAUGACGUCAAGUCCUCAUGGCCCUUACGUGUUGGGCUACACACGUGCUACAAUGGUAUCUACAACAGGAAGCAAAACCGCGAGGUUAAGCAAAUCCUUAAAAGAUGCCUCAGUUCGGAUUGCACUCUGCAACUCGAGUGCAUGAAGCUGGAAUUACUAGUAAUCGUGGAUCAGCGUGCCACGGUGAAUGCGUUCCCGGGCCUUGUACACACCGCCCA